rnacentral:misc_RNA from 1 species
GUCACCAUCGCAACAAUGAAUGCAAUGACGGACACGGAGGUGGUGCAGUAUGUGCUCCAGAACAAGAGUAACUAUUAUAAGGUGCUCAUGGUAGGAGCAGAUGCCACCGAGGCGCAGAUCAAGGUAGCCUACAAAAAGAUGGCACUCAAGUGUCAUCCAGACAAGAACAAGCACAAACAGGCAGCUGAUGCGUUCAAGCUGGUUGGCACGGCGCACACGACGUUGUCGGAUGCCACCAAGCGCAGCAUCUACGACCGGCACGGUGCGGAGGGCGUACAGCGGCACGAGAGCGGUGGUGCGCGUCGGUCCGCGAACGGCGCGGGUGUGUACCGCCAUCGUCCAGCCGGGCAGCGUGACUUCUUCGAGGAGUUCUUCUUUGGCAACGGCUACCAUGCGAACGGUCAUGGUGUGCACCCCGGCGCCGGUGGGGCUCGAUACCAAGCUGAGGUGAACAUCAAUCCCAAUGCACUGCUAUUUGUGCCCAUCGUUGUUUUUCUACUCGUAGCAAUGCUCUUGUCGAGCUCCUACACCGACGUCGAUGCAUCCAACCCGCUGUUCGGCGGCGGUCUCCGUGGCGCUGGCAUGGCUGGAGCCUCCUUUAGCUUCACGGCGUCACAGAACGAGGGCUUCGUGGUGCAGCGCACAACUUCCCUGUACGGGUUGCGCGUACCGUACUACACGACGCCUCGGAUGUCGGAAAUGAUGGACCGGCGAAAGGAGGUGUACUUGUCGAUGGAACAGAAGGUGUUGGAGACUUGGCGGGACUCUUUAGGUCGACGCUGCGAGGCGGAGUCGCUCAAGUAUCGCUCGCGCGGCCGCAACGAGGUACCGCCAGUGUGCGGCGACUAUCAACACUUCCGUCGAGCACUUGGUUGAACAGAUCGCCGCCACAUAUGCUCUCUCUGUCUGUUGCGUCACCGAGCAGAAGUCGCGGUUGAAAGCGAAAGGAGCUGGCGGAACGAGACUAAAGGCGUGCAACACGCAACAACACCGUCAUCCCAACUGUUUGUGCAAGUAACGGGGAGGGCGGAAGGAUAUGCGGAACAGCGAGAAACGAGCAUUCCAAAGAGAGGGAUCUGCAGACGGAGGUAGCGGAUGAGACGAAGAGAAAGGUGGCGAGUAUGCCGCCAACGGCUGAGGGCACAAGCGAGAGGAAGGUAUUAGUGUCAUUGCAAGUGCUACGAAGAAGGCUGUGAGCAUGUGUGUUUAUCUGAGCACGCGCUCCACUUCGUCCUUUCGCACCCGCCCACCCGCCACCUGACUCGCUCGUCGGUUGUCUACUUUCUUCUCUCAUUUCAUGCUCCUGCUGCUGACUUGCUUGCACAAAGCCUGUGCAGCUCGGCACGCAUGUGCGUCCCUGCGUCUUCUCUUCGCGUCGGCUACAGCUGGGCUAUUGGGGUUGUUAUAUAUGUUUAUCGUUUUAGGCCACGCUUGUGACCUCGUGUGAAGCGGGUGUGUGUGUGUGGUGGUGGUGGGAGGGCAAGUGUGGGCCCCUCUGCCGCACUCCUUCUGCCCCUUCCCCUCCCCCUCCCAAGGACCCCCUUUUUUCUUUUCGGUGUUCGUCUUCUGUUUCCUCCCAUUCCGUCCUCUCUCCCACACACACACACACACACACUCAUGCGCUCUGAACGAGAGGAAUGCUGAAGCCCGUCUUCCGGCUCUCUCUCUCCCCCUUCCCCCUGCGCAUGUAUACCCGAGCUCCUUCCUCUCUGGUGUGCGCUUCUCUCGUAUCCUCUCGUGCGUUGUUGGUCUCUCCCGCCUCUUUGUCGUCGUUGUGCUUACAACCGUUGGUGCGUUGCUCUGUGCCGGUAGCAUUAUAUGUGUAUGCGUGCGUGUGUGUGUGUGUGUGUCGAUGCACGCCAUCACCCCCUCCAUCCCGGUCUUUCGAUCAUUCCGCGUUAAGUGCGUCGCCGCCUUCCUUGUUUGUUCCUCAAUGCUGCCUAAACUUUCUCUAUCUCACUCCUCUCCCACGCCCCGGGGGGAUAUU